UGUCCCUCCUGGUGGUCCAGUGGUGAUUUAAAGUGUCUGCCAACAGGGGAAACAAAAGGAGAAUUGUCCCAGGGCCACUCCUGCAGCAGUGGUCGUGGCCAGAAUCCUGGCCCUUUAAAUCCCCGCCAGAGUGCGCAUAGGCAUUUACAAUACACAUUUAUUCCUCUGCUAUGUUUGGGAUGGCGUGAAUUAGAUAUGAAACACAUUAAAAAUGUUGAAUCUUUGAGCACUGAAUUUUUUUGCUUAUAUAAUUCCCCAGGGUUCCUUCAGCAUGAUAUCAUGUACUACUUAAACUGAUUACAAUAGCUGUUUAAGUGAUUAUAGGGCACGGGACAAACUGCUAUAAAAGUUGUUCUAUUUAAAACUGGCGUUGGUGUCCUAUCACUCCAAUAGGGCAAAACACUGCCGAUUCUCCUGGUAUGGUGGAAGGAAAGGCAACAGCUGAAGAAAAUGUCUAAGUCGUAAGUGGAUAAGACUACAGAGAGGCCAUACCCACUUGCGGACAUAAGGAUUUACUAAUUAGCCCCCAGAUCCGCAGCAUCUGCCGCAUCAAAAUAUGUGGCAAGAAAAAUCUAAAAGAAAACUAUAUGCAAGACUUAGUUCUAGGGGCAAACCUUUACUUCUGAACAAGAAAAUAUGAACAUUGGUUCCUUAAUUACAGAACCAUGAGUUUUUCUCAUUGAUUUAUUUUGAUUACCUUUGAAGACUCUGGCACUGUUCCUGAGCUCUACAGCAAAAAGCCAAGUUUCAGCUUUCAUAAUAUGUACAGCUAGAGGCCAACCUCAUUCUGCUAUUAGGAAAUUAGGGGUUUGCCUCUUCCUGCUUGUGAAACUGACUCAUUCCGUUCAGCCUAACAUGUGGUAAGCCACGCGAUUUCUCUACUUUCAAAGUAUCUGGAGUGUCUUUAUUUUUAUCCUUGGUUAAGAUGCCUUUUAAAAUAUCUACCUUUAAUUUUCUUCAAUUUCCAAAUGUGUAAAAGGUGGAUAAUACUUCUUACCAACCCCAAAUACCUAUGCAUUAAUUCAGCUAUAGAAAAUACUUCACAAAAAAAAAAUUAAGUGUCUGUAUUAUGUGCUUGCUAUAGUAUUUCUGUUUUACUCAGACUCAAGAGAAAAUCCCAUAAUGAAUCUGAUUUGUUGCGGACAACAUGGAAGGAUGGUUAGUUGGCAAAUGAGCAAAAUUUAAAAGAAUUUACCCCAUAUGCAGUUUUAGCUUGUUUCUUGUUAUUUAAACCUCUCUGCUUGACUGUUUCAACUAUAAAAUAUUCUACAUAGUUUUUUCUCUAUUCCUUCAAAUCUGUAUACAUACGAAGCAGAGACAGACAGCCUCUGAGUCUACUGACCGGACAGUCUGAACACUGAUUAAGUCAACAUUAUAAUCAAUAGAUUGCUUUAUUUGGCUUUAAUUCUCACUGGCAUGCUUUGAUUAAUAUUUGCUUUCCAAAAGAAACAUGAAAAUGAGAUCAUGUGCUGCUGGCUUGAACUGUCAUGCAACCAUGGGACACUGAGCCAACUCUGGGGAAAAAGGCAUUCUCAUGGUGUAAAUCAAUGGAGAAUUCAUCUCAGAAUAUGUCUACGAGGUCACCAGACCCUUGGCCAUUGCAGAAUUGUUCCCAGUGAAAGCAAAAAUAGACUACAAUUUUUCUGCAGUACUUCUGUCACCUCAGCACAUGGCCUUCUUUCCGUCAACACACUUGUGACUUAACUGAAUGACUGGUGACUAGCUUGCAGUGAUUUCAACAGAAGAAAAGUCUGCAUGGAUGCCAACAGAGGAUCCCUACGAGCAAGUGGAAGGAAGACGCUGUUUCCGACACAGCAGUCUGUACAGAUUUGGUGUUCAAAGAUUGUAACUGAGACUUAAAUGAACUACAUAUAAGCUUUUGGGAACCCUUAGUUUCUUCUUACUGUGUUUCUGUGGGGACUGAACUGUUCAGAUUUUAAUUUAUUUUCUUUAUGUUUAUGUAUAACUGUGACGAUAAUGCCUGUGGGUCAUAAAAUACCCAUGUUAUGCUAUGAAAAUUAUAUUAUUUUUCUUCAUAACAUUUUAUAAAGUUAUGUAAUGAAAUGAAUGUCUUUAGUUCCUGUUGGGAUUUGAAUGGGGAGGAGGCUGACUCGUGUGCGUGUGUGUGUGUGUAUGUGUCCAGAAAUAUUUGUAUUGUCUGUUAAAUAAAGGAGACAAGAUAUGCCAGAGCAACAUUUGCACACAUGGGCAGCAACAGCACAGGUGGCUUUAUGGUAGCGUGCUGCCUCCACAAUCCUCAGAACUGCUCUAAAUUUGUGCAGUAAAUAACAGCUCCCAAGAAUCCUAUCUGCUGGCCAGGACUGCUGGGCAGGAACAACUGAAAUAGUGCUGGCAUUAGGUAGCUAUAAGUCCUCUUUAUGCUGCUGAGAUUGUGGAUCUGGUCCAUUUUUCUCCAUCCCAUUCAACAGAGUUCUUCUGGCUUUUCUAUAAGGAGGAUAAUAAAACCACCCAACACAUCCUUCUCUCUCCUGGCAAUACUGGCAAAGCACUUACUGGCAUGUGGCUAUGAAUGAGGUUUUUUGUUAAAGAUCUGCCUAUCUCCAGUGGGACAAUGAAUAGCAACAGACAGACAGAGAAACACGUAAGGGACCAUGAUAAUAUCUGAACUUCCUCUCCUCAAUCCAAAUAAAGACUAGAGUGAUUCUCUCUGUCUCUCAGGGCAUUUGUAAAAAUAUAAUCCAGGCCAUUGUCCAGCAGGCUUUCCUAAUGAUGCUAACCUCAAUUCUUAAGUUGUUUCAGCUGUGAUCCCAAUAGCAAGUAGAUAGCAUAAGCAGAAAAUGGUGCACAAAAUACAGAAGUAUAAUAAUAGUAGAUAAAGUAAUUAAACUAUUCAAGCUAUUUCAGCAUGUGGAAAUUUUUUCCCCCUACACUAUCAGUCUCCACUCCAUUUCACCAAUAAGUCCACUAGUGUAACAGAAUAGAUAGAUCCAUAAUACUGUAUAUGCCCCAGGCUGCAAAUUCUGGAAUAUCCCUAAAAAAAUACAGUAAUAAGAAGAGACUAUAGUACAAAGUAAAAAUAUGAAGAUGAGAGAAGCAAAAAGCUCUGCUCGGGUUGUCUCAGACUUUUCCCUGCCCAGAAUUCGUUUCACAGGAGUCAGAGUCUCUUCACCCUACUACUGUCCAGGAUGAUUCAGGGCAGGGGUCACUUACCCCUUCCAAAAAAGUGGAUACAUUCUCUUAGUUUCUUUCUUUUGGCAGAUUUAUUUUACCUAAUGUGGAUGACACAAAGGCUGCUUGUACACAGAGCACACAUCUCUAAUAACCUGGAAAUGGCAUCCACAAAAAGAAAAGAGUGACACUUUUUCCCCCUUGAUCAUAGCAGAAUAAACAACAUUUUAAAGGUUAACUUACUCAAUUUCCACAGUUAAUUGUGAAAAAUGAUGUCUCUUGGUACCUUCAGAUUUUUAACAUCCAAUUACUUUGAUUUUUUAUCGCAUCCUGCAUUCCCUGACUACUGCUGCAUAAGAGCGGAAAAAAAGGUUGUAACCAGUGGCAACUCAUUUACUUGCACAAAUCGGUACAACACCCAAUGCAAGGCCUUCUACUGAACUGAGAGAAGUUAGAAUAAUUUCUUCUACGGUUCAUCUAACAAAAACAGCCCGGAUCUAAAUGCAUGUCACAAAAUCUUGUGAACUAAGGCAUUCCUAUUUGAACAAAUAUAGGUCGGAUCUCCCCUGGUCCGGCACCCUCGGGACCUGACUGGUCUCAGAUGAGGGAUUUUUCCAGACCAGGGGAGGUCAUUUCAGCACCCCCCUCCCACCAGCUUCCCAGCUGUGCCGUGGGCUAGCUGAGGGCCCCUCCCAAGCCUAGUGUGCUGUCUCCUGGUGCCCCCCUCCAAGCACAGCUGAGCCACGCACCAGCUACUGGUCCCACCCCGCAGCACAGCUGAGCCACACACCAGCUCCCUGCCUCCCCCUCACAACCUAGAUGACCCGUGCAGCUCCGGCCCCUCUUGCAGCCCAGUUGAGCUGAGCACAGGCUCCCGGGCCCCGAGUGUCCUGUAUGUCACUGGGACUCUCUGAUCCUGGAACAUCCAUGGUCAUGCCAGACCACGGAUGUUGCCGGACUAGAAGAAUCCCAGAUUUUAAAAGUGCUACUUUUAUCAAUGGUAGCUUUCUAGAGUCCAGCAAAAUGUGAGUCAUUUGGAGAAGGAAAGUUUCAACUAAUUUUUACACUGUUUCAACUAUUAUUACUCUGUAUAUAACUAGUUACCUAAAGAUUAUCACAAACAAAAAUAUAUGAAAGAGUUCAUUCAGGUUGAAAACGUGGACCAGAUUUCAACUGAACUAAGUCAAUAUACGUCAAGUAACAGAGAGGUAGCCAUGUUAGUCUGAUCUUGAAGUGGGUCUGCCCCAUGAAAGCUCAUCACCUAAUAAACCAUCUUGUUAGUCUUUAAAGUGCUAUAUGACUGCUUUUUUUCUUUUACCAAUAUAUGCAAGUGCAGCUAGCUAGGUACAACCUUUUCCAACGUAAAAUCAAUGAAGCCAUGCUCAUUUGCUCCAGCUGAGGAUCUGGCUUUGGUAUGUAGAGAGUACUGACACCCAGAAAAAAACUACUAUAAUUUCUAUGGAAUUAUCCUUCAAAUAAUAAUAAAAAAAAGCAUGAAAUUUGAACAGUUUAAGAACACAACCACUUCAGUAGUAUCUCUUGUUACCACCUCACACAACUUACACUCCUCAUCUUACUUAAACUAUGCCCUACUUCUGUGUAUAUAACAAUAUUAAUUUUCUAUCACAGCUACAGAAGUUGUCUGCACGACAAUAAGAAAGAUAAUCACAUAUUAUCCUGGUAAGUAAUAUCAAGUCUGAACUAAUGAAAAGAGAUGCAGACUGAGGUUUUCCCAAACUUUGAUCUUGUUUAUAAAUGUGAAGGCUUGAUGCCAACAGUAAAGAGAAAUGUCUCCCGGAAUGAGAGAAAAAAAAAGAUACCUCCUAUUGAAACCUCUCUAAUCUUAAACCACACAACAUACCAAUGUCUUCCACAUCCUAGCCUCCUUUUCAUUAUUUCUUCAGGCACAAAUGUUUGCUUUAUGUUACGUUUGCUAAAAACAAAAAUUAGCAGGCUAGAUGUUGAAGACAUUUUAAUAAAAUAGGUGUCCCGCUGCCUGACAUAUGAUGCUGUGCUAAGUACAUAAUUUCUAUGUAUCUAUAUCCAAUUUAUUAAUAUGUAGAAAUGACAGUAAUCCUUCUGUAUUUAAAUCUGAGUCCUCACCAGCUGGGGAACAACUGAUCCUUCCAUUUUAGAAUACAUCUUGAUGUUUAACUUGUUUUGUAUCUUUAUCAGCUUCAACUUUGAUUGCAUCUUAUCAAUUAAUAAAAAAGCAUUUCAUUUUAAAGGGUAUGAAACAGGAGCCUAGUACAUAUUAGUUCCACCCCAAUGCUGUAAAUAUAGAGGUCUUCUGGUUUUACUUGAAAAAUAAAUAAGGAUGGAUGAAGCUCAGAAAUGAUUGUUUCUAAUACUGUAUUUAAAUAACUACAAUAUAAUUUGCAUUUAUAUUUGUAAUUUUGUCAUUAG